rnacentral:rRNA from 1 species
AUUGAACGCUGGCGGCAUGCCUUACACAUGCAAGUCGAACGGUAACAGGUCCUCGGAUGCUGACGAGUGGCGAACGGGUGAGUAAUACAUCGGAACGUGCCUAGUAGUGGGGGAUAACUACUCGAAAGAGUGGCUAAUACCGCAUGAGAUCUACGGAUGAAAGCAGGGGAUCGCAAGACCUUGUGCUACUAGAGCGGCCGAUGGCAGAUUAGGUAGUUGGUGGGAUAAAAGCUUACCAAGCCGACGAUCUGUAGCUGGUCUGAGAGGACGAUCAGCCACACUGGGACUGGGAAGCGGCCCAGACUCCUACGGGAGGCAGCAGUGGGGAAUUUUGGACAAUGGGCGCAAGCCUGAUCCAGCAAUGCCGCGUGCAGGAUGAAGGCCUUCGGGUUGUAAACUGCUUUUGUACGGAACGAAAAGCCCCGGGUUAAUACCCUGGGGUCAUGACGGUACCGUAAGAAUAAGCACCGGCUAACUACGUGCCAGCAGCCGCGGUAA